rnacentral:rRNA from 1 species
UGAGUAAAGUGGCGUACGGGUGAGUAACACGUGGAUCAUCUACCCUGGAGUGGGGAAUAACGCUGGGAAACCGGCGCUAAUACCGCAUAAUCCCGAGAGGGCAAAGGAGCAAUUCGCUUCAGGAGGAGUCCGCGGCCGAUUAGCUAGUUGGCAGGAUAAAAGCCUACCAAGGCAACGAUCGGUAGCCGGCCUGAGAGGGCACACGGCCACACUGGCACUGAAACACGGGCCAG